GACGUAGGGCGCGAGCGUUGUCCGGAUUUAUUGGGCGUAAAGAGCUCGUAGGCGGCUUGUCGCGUCGUUCGUGAAAACCCGGGGCUCAACUCCGGGCUUGCGGGCGAUACGGGCAGACUGGAGGUAUGCAGGGGAGAACGGAAUUCCUGGUGUAGCGGUGAAAUGCGCAGAUAUCAGGAGGAACACCGGUGGCGAAGGCGGUUCUCUGGGCAUUACCUGACGCUGAGGAGCGAAAGUGUGGGGAGCGAACAGG
rnacentral:rRNA from 1 species